rnacentral:rRNA from 1 species
AAUGAUUUAGCGGGGGAAAGAACUACAAGGAUUCCCUUAGUAACGGCGAGUGAAACGGGAUGAGCCCAGCACCGAAUCCCUUUGCCGCAUGGUAUUUGGGACAUGUGGUGUUUGGGAGUGUCUUUGGCGCGUGGCAAGGUGUUUGAGUCCUCCUGAUCGGGGCUUGUCCCAGAGCGGGUGUAAGGCCUCUACAGCACCGAGCCGCGUGUCUAGGGCGCUCUCUGGAGUCGGGUUGUUUGAGAAUGCAGCCCUAAGUGGGUGGUAAACUCCAUCUAAGGCUAAAUACCGCUGCGAGUCCGAUAGCAAACAAGUACCGUGAGGGAAAGUUGAAAAGCACUUUGAAGAGAGAGUUGGAUAGUACGUGAAACCGUUUACAGGUAAACGGACGGGACCGUAAGGUCGGCCUCGGGGAUUCAGGUCUCUGGCGGCGGCUCGGCGUUGGCUGGUGAUACUGCUCGUUCGCGCGGGCAGAACCCCCGCUGGCUCUGUGUGUCUCCUCGGGCUCUAUAUUUUCUCGUGUGGUGAGCGUCACACCCCGAGUGGGACUCAAAAACACCUGGAUAUAUAUACCGCAUAUCUGAAACGCUGUGGAAAUUUAUAGAGCCGGAGAGCUCUGUGUUUUUUGUGGGGGAGAAAAAAACGGUUCGCGCCGUGUACAUUAUAUCCCUCUCUGUGUGGAAACAUUCUGGGAAAAAUUUUGUAGUUCUCGGAGACCCCCGCUUAAGAUUGUGGUUUUUUUUUCCCGCCCCAAAGGGAAAGGGGUUUUUUAUUGGCCCCCCCCCAAACCCGUUUUAAAACCGCCAAGGGGUUACAUGUGCCCAAAAAGGUUUUAAACCCCCGGGCGAAAAAAAAAUAAAUUAAGGGGCGGUCCGGU